UGGGGGCACCCUGAUCNAGCAUGCCGCGUGGGUGAUGAAGGCCUUCGGGUUGUAAAGCUCUUUCGGCGGGGAAGAUGAUGACGGUACCCGCAGAAGAAGCCCCGGCUAACUUCGUGCCAGCAGCCGCGGUAAUACGAAGGGGGCUAGCGUUGUUCGGAAUUACUGGGCGUAAAGGGCGCGUAGGCUGUGCUGCAAGUCAGGCGUGAAAGGCCCGGGCUCAACCUGGGAACUGCGCAUGAUACUGCGGCGCUUGAAGGCGGGAGAGGAUGGCGGAAUUCCCAGUGUAGAGGUGAAAUUCGUAGAUAUUGGGAAGAACACCGGUGGCGAAGGCGGCCAUCUGGCCCGCAAUUGACGCUGAGGCGCGAAAGCGUGGGGAGCAAACAGGAUUAGAUACCCUGGUAGUCCACGCCGUAAACGAUGAGUGCUAGACGUCGGGGAGCUUGCUCUUCGGUGUCGCCGCUAACGCAUUAAGCACUCCGCCUGGGGAGUACGGUCGCAAGAUUAAAACUCAAAAGAAUUGACGGA
rnacentral:rRNA from 1 species